CUUUGUCUUCCCCUCUGUUAUCAUAAAUCGAUACCCUCGUUCUUCUCACUUCUGCCAUAACCUAAUCCACAAGAAGAAGAAGAAGAAGAAUCAGCAGCAGCAACGAAGAGUUCACUGUCGAAGAUCCUUUUUCAGGAGAGUAAGAUCGUUGCAUGAGUGACACAUGCAAUUGUGUGAAGGGAAUCUGAGAAUUGAUAGGGAACGAUGUGCGGUGAUGGUGGCUGACAGUCUUAUUAAAAUUGAGAACUGACGUUGAAGAAGAGUAGGGCAUAACAGGGGAAGUAUGGCUCAGCAGCAAUCGUCGCGGCUUAAUCGCCUACUUACUUUAUUGGACAGUAUCCUUUGUUUUUUGUUACCAUGCUUCACAAUAUAUACUGGCUUUGACCUCUUAACAGGGAAAAAGAGCUAGUUAGGCUUUUCGUUUGCUGGCAUUUAUUUUUAGCCUGUAUGCAUAUUUUGUGCCUCCAAUGCUGUAAAAACUUGCUAAGAAAAAUUGAACUAGCCCAGUGCAACCUAUUCUUUCUGCUUGUAGUUUUGUGUUCUUGCUUUUAGUCAUGUUGGUGAGUUGAUGCUAACUUUAACUAAAAAUAAGCUGGUUCAACUCAAGCAACAAGAUUGACAGCAGCUAGGCAGAUUGGUGAAAUAGCCAAAUCACAUCCUCAGGACCUAAACUCUUUGUUGAGUAAGGUAUGUCUUUCUGUGCAGUUCUUCUCUAGUUAUAUCAAAGUUCGCAUUUUUUUUUCUCUGUGUUGCGGCUAUACACUGGUUAUGUGUGUUGGAGUGGGAAGUGGUAACAUUUAUCAAUUUGAAGAUAGAAGUUUCGAAAAAGAAAAUCCUUAUUUUUCCUGAGUUAUGUGCAUUAAAUCUAUGAAAGUUUUACCUUUGAAAUUUUUUCUGCAAGUGUGAGAACUAAUUUCAGCAAAUUUGUUUUUUUAAGGAAGUAAUUCUACAGAACAUUUCAUAGUGAUAGGAGUGGUUAAUUAAAUGAGUACUUUGCUGGUCAAAUUGCAGCCUGCUUUUCCAAAUAUUACGACUUUGAUGGACAGAUGAGCAUAAAACCCACUUAAAAGGCUUAAAAGUGCUUCUGUAUUAGUUGAUGUUGUAUAUCCACUAGGCGAUGUAAGAGAGAAGAUUUGUGUGGUUCUGAAUAUGAUGUUAGUCAUCAUCCAUUAUUGCAGUCUGCAGAUGGAUUUUUUUAGCCUUUUGGGUCACUUGUUUGUUGUAGCAGAUCUUGGAUAUUGAACUGUUUAUACAUGAAACUUGACACAAUAGAAAGCUGAACCUACUGAAGAAAGCAGUAAAAGUUGUUGUAGAAUAAGAAAGGAGAUCUUUAGAUCCAAAAUGUGGAAUCCAGCGCUACGAAUUGUGGGACGAUAACCAUCUGAUUGCUUAAUUUAUACAAUUUUCUGAAGUGAAAACUUUAAAAAAGCACUUGGUCGUUAGGAAUGUAGGAUAUCCAGAGGAUAGGUGACAGUUCAUAUCACUAAAGCAUAGAUGAAAUAAGUUGAGCUCUGUACUGCAUCAAGUGAGUAGUAUUUAAGAGAGGAGACGGUGUUAGAUUUUCACCUAGAGUGCCCUAGGUAUAACCAACUAAGGUGAAGUUGCACGAGUUCUAAAGAAGCCACCUUGAUAGAAUAGAUGAUUCUAGUAUUGUAACUAUAUCAAAUCUUGGACAUAAAGAGCUCUCCUACACCUGUUGGGGAAAUUAUUUCAAAACACAAAAUAUUUUUGCUUCCUACCCAAACAAUUCUAACCUUAAAAUAUAUUAGAAAACAUUAAGAAAGUACCUAGUUAAUAAUUUCUGCAUAAUUAAUGUUGACAAUUUUUUUUUGUAAAUUUGUUUACAACGUUGGAAACUUAAAAUUAUAGCAAAUUAAACUUGACCCGAGAGCAAUACUCAAUGAAGAUAAAAAACAAGACAAACCCUAAAACCAUUAAUAGAUGCUUUAAUGGUCGGUCAUGUAAUAGAAAUGAUAUUUCUCUUCUUUUUUCCUCUUGCCUCCUUUAUCAAAUUCUAUUCUGCUUGAGCUUACUGCUCAGUUCUUUCAAAAGGAUGGCAACACAGUAGGAACUAUGGAUAGCUGGAUAAAAUUUGGAAAUAUCUAAGAAAUUAUUUUCCAAGAAAGCAGUGGAGGGUUUGCGAGAUGGUUAUUGCUUAAAAGUGGGUUGUUGGGUUGCUCAUUCUUCAGUAGAACAACUGUUAAAAAAAACAAUUGCAAUAAUAGAAUAGGAGGAAGAAGACUGAGAGAGAAGAGUGUAGGGAAGCCGGAGAAGUGUAGACAAAAUGAAAAAAUAGAAUAUUAAUAGGAGAGGGAGGGAAUUGAAGAUUGCAAGAGAGAGGAGGAAUAACCGUAUUGGCAAAUGAUCCACGAAACAAUCAACUUACAACUUUUUAAUUCCUUUAUUAAACCACCUUUUUAAGUCCUUUAUAAAACCAAAGAAAAAAGACUUGGAGACAAAACAUGGUAUCUUGGGGCCAAAAAUGGCUUUUACUCGUGUAACUAGAGCCAAUCAUCAAUUAGGGGUUUUGAUACAAAUUGAUUUUAGUGUAUCUUCUUUGUUGUCAAGUGUGUUGUGCCCUAAUUUUGGACU
rnacentral:lncRNA from 1 species